rnacentral:rRNA from 1 species
UCAUCUUCAAUGGGCGAAAGCCCGACGGUGCGACGCCCCGUGAAGGAUGUAGGUCUUCGGUUUGUAUAGUCCCGUUGUUAUUGCAGAAUAAGUACCCUUCAAAUAGUUUGGCACCUUGUCGGUACCUGACUAGAAAGCCCCGGCUAACUACGUGCCAGCAGCCGCGGUAAUACUUAGGGGGCAAGCGUUGGCCGGAAUUAUUGGGCGUAAAGGGCUCGCAAGCGGUUUCAUACAUCUGAUGUGAAAUAUUGCGGCUCAACCGCAAGAGGUCAUUGGAAACUGGGAGGCUUGAGUAUAGGAGAGGAAAGUGGAAUUCCACGUGUAGCGGUGAAAUGCGUAGAGAUGUGGAGGAACACCAGUGGCGAAGGCGACUUUCUGGCCUAUAACUGACGCUGAGGAGCGAAAGCGUGGGUAGCAAACA